GAAGUGUAACAUUCACAAGAACAUAAAUCUACAUCCACAAGAAAACUGGUUUAAUCCAGUUCCAAAAGCUUCAGCAAAACAAAGAAAUUUGAAUACAUCUCAUCAAAGUGUGGAUAAAUGUAUACGAUUAAUGACUGUGCAUCUCUGGUUGUAAACCUGGGGAGUUUGGGGAAUAAUGGACCUGUGUUGUUGGGGGAACUGAACAACAAACAAGAGCUCGGAGAUCCCAGGGUCCAGCCUACACCCAAACAACUACAGAAGAGAACAAGCUUUGGAUCGAUAUUCUAUUUAACAGAAAGUGGCAAAACUAAAUAAGAAUGUCCUUAAAUGCAGUCAAAGCACUUCAAGCAGAUAAUGUCAAAUACUCACGGCUGGCCUGGAAUACAAGGAGCUGGAGCAAUGCAAUCCAAAUCUUAAGUGAAUGAACAAAAUGGUGGGCUUUUGUCAUAAGGAUGGAAGAAAACCUGAUAGGGACUGGAGGACUAAGAAAAUACCUGUCUAAAAGGUGUAUUUAAUUGAAUGAAAAAAUGUAUUCAGAAAUUAAACAGCUAACCUUAAAUUCAUUGCUAA